CCGAGGGACACAUUUUGAGAUUGCACCCGGCUAAGGAUGGCUGAUCCUACCUCUCAGCUAGACACGCCAGCUCCCCAGGAUGUCAGUAACGAGUUUAAGAAGCCGGUUUUACCAUUGCCUUCCGCAGUGCGGGGUAAGGCUUCGGUCUCCAGUCCCUCCGUUCCUGAAGAUGUGAAGAAGGAAUGUCUCGCGGCUCAGCUGGACUCUGGAUGUGAGGAGCCCGAGGUCCCGCCACCGCAGCCGGACAGCGAGGAGACCGGGGGUCCACCGGUGGAGCAGCUCCGCUCCCCGCGGGUAGCUCCUGCUUCUGGCGGUCCGACCCGGGCUCCGCCGUACCGAGAGCCAUCGUGGGGCAGCCCAGCCACGGCCCCCUACAGUCUCGAAACCCUGAAGGGUGGCACCAUCCUUGGCACCCGCACCUUGAAAGACACGAGCUGCUGCUUUUUCGGGAGACUUGCUAGCUGUGACAUAUGUCUGGAGCAUCCUUCCGUGUCUCGGUACCAUGCUGUACUACAACACCGGGGGGCGGAUCCCAGCGGAGACUCUGACAGUCAUGAGCAGGGCUUUUAUCUCUACGAUCUGGGAAGUACCCACGGCACGUUCCUCAACAAAACUCGCAUCCCACUCCGCACUUACUGUAGAGUCCACGUCGGGCACGUUAUGCGCUUUGGAGGCAGCACUCGGCUCUUUAUCCUUCAGGGACCAGAGGAAGACCGAGAGGCAGAAUCUGAAUUAACAGUAACACAGUUGAAGGAAUUGCGUAAACAGCAGCAGAUGUUAUUGGAGAAGAAGAUGUUAGGUGAAGACUCAGAUGAAGAAGAAGAAGAAGCAAAUACCACUGAAGGGAAGAGCAGUAGAAGUGGUCAAGAUGAUGAGAUGGGCUGCACGUGGGGAAUGGGAGAAGAUGCUGUGGAGGAUGAAGCUGAAGAGAACCCCAUUGCCUUAGAGUUUCAGCAGGACCGGGAAGCGUUUUAUAUAAAGGAUCCAAAGAAGGCUCUUCAAGGCUUCUUUGACCGAGAAGGAGAAGAGUUAGAAUAUGAAUUUGAUGAGCAAGGACACAGCACUUGGCUCUGCAGGGUGAGGUUACCUGUAGAUGAUUCAACUGGGAAACAGCUGGUGGCUGAGGCCAUUCACUCAGGAAAGAAAAAGGAAGCAAUGAUUCAGUGCUCGCUGGAAGCCUGCCGGGUCCUCGACACACUGGGCUUGCUGCGGCAGGAAGCAGUAUCUCGGAAAAGGAAAGCCAAGAACUGGGAAGAUGAGGAUUUUUAUGACAGUGACGAUGAUACAUUCCUCGAUCGGACUGGCCUGGUAGAGAAGAAGCGCUUGAGCCGCAUGAAGAAGGCUGGGAAGCUUGAUGAGAAGCCAGAAACUUUUGAGUCACUGGUUGCAAAGUUAAAUGAUGCAGAAAGGGAACUCGCCGAAAUUUCUGAAAGGCUCAAGGCUUCAAGCAAAGUUCUAUCAGAGUCAUCAUCUCAGGACUCUUUAGAUGCAUUCAUGUCCGAAAUGAAAUCAGGCAGCACAUUAGAUGGGGUAUCCCGGAAGAAACUUCACCUGAGGACUUUUGAACUAAGAAAAGAACAACAGAGACUUAAAGGGUUAAUAAAACUUGUAAAGCCAGCAGAGAUCCCAGAACUAAAAAAGACUGAACUUCAGACUACAAAUGCAGAAAACAAAACUAAGAAACUUGCAUUGCCUCUCUUUGGUGCCAUGAAAGGAGGAAGCAAAUUCAAAUUAAAAACCGGAACAGUAGGGAAGUUGCCACCCAAGCGUCCAGAACUCCCUCCAGCUUUAAUGCAAAUGAAGGAUGAACCUGAAGUAGAGGAGGAGGAGGAAGAGGAAGAAGAGGAGGAGAAAGUGAAGGAGGAGCAUGAAGAACGAGUGGAGGAUGGAGGUGUCAGGCUUCUUCAGGAGCCUGAGCUGGAGCUGGAAGCAGCAGUGGAGCACCCGAGUGCUCCUUCAGAGCCCUCGUGCUCCAAGGAGACAAAAAGCCAUGAAAGUAUAUCUCAACUCAGCCAAGUGGAACAGCGUAAAGAUUAUCAAGAGAUGGGCAAAAUAGUAGCAUCAUGUGAGGACCCUUCAGCUGUGUAUACUUUACCACCCUUAAAGCAGCACCAGAGAAUGAAUAUAAAAAAGACAGAGAUGAGCUGAAGAAAAAGAAAUCUCCUGGGCCUGGCAAAUUUCCACCCAUCCUUUCUUCCAAAUAUCCUGAGGAUGACCCAGACUACUGUAUAUGGGUCCCACCUGAAGGUCAAAGUGGAGAUGGCAGAACCCAUCUUAAUGACAAGUAUGGCUACUGAUUGGUUCAGAGUCCCAGAGGAAGACCUUGUGGACCACAGGAUGUUUGGGAGGAAACAUCAAGUCAUGGCCAGGAAUCAGAUGACCAUUUGUAAAAUCUGGUGACUGGCUUUUUCUUCUGUAUCCCUGGUUUCCUAUAACUCCCUGCCCAUUGGAUUCUCCUCAGUUUUGGUGUUUAUAUUUAAGUGUUUGUGUGUAUAUAUGUAAAAAAAGAGCCAUGUACACUAGAAUCAGUAAAGUAAGAGGCAUGACCCAUUA